GUAUGAACAGUGGCGUGCAUAGCUAGACUAAUAUCACUGGCGUGCUUCUGUAUCUCUUUGCAAAAAAACUAACCUAGAAAUGGCAUUCACACCACUAGCAUUUACCCCCAGGCUGAUGUUAUCUUGUUUCAAAAGUAUUCUGUAGGUCAUUUAAACUUGCUAAAUACAAACUCACAACACAAAUCAAAUCAUGUUGAUAUGCAUUAGCACAGGCUGAAAACAUUUCAGCACAAAACAAUAUACGUACAUUGUGUAUUAUGCACGUUGUACUUAACGAAAAUAACUUUUACUUUCUUUUGACUCUGAUAAUUUUAGCUCUGGGGUGGGCAAUUACUUUUGUUCAGGGGUGUGUUGGACCUAUUUUUAAGUGAUUACAGGCCAAAGGGAUUCAAAAAUCAGCAGCUACUUCAUACAAUAUUAAACAGUUAGAAUUGAUUAAUGCUCAGUGAAUGUUGAAGCAUUCAAUGUAACACUGUUCUCAGAUACCCUUAAUGUAUGUUAUUCCAUUGGGGAGACCAAGUUCCACACCCAAAUAAAACAACAGAAGUUUUCUACAUACUUAUUCAGAGAAGUGACAUGAAUUCUUGGAAGUAGGAGCAGACCAUUACAAGGUGGUGUACGAGUAGUGGAAUCCAUGCAGAUUGACAGACAAGGAGACAAGAGAGAAAAAAACACACGGAGAAGAAAACGAAAGAAAGAACAGAGACAAGACAUGAAACAAUAUAAUUAUGAAUAGUGUAUCAUCUACGGAUAAAGUGACAAGAACAUCUAAAAAAAAUGUGUCUCUUAUUGUGAAGAAUGGCUAUUUUUGGGUGAUGUUAUCAGCUUCCAUUUCUUGGAUUUUAUGUGCCACAGCUAGAUGUAGUACAAAACUGAAUAAACAUAAUGAAAAACAGCCCUAGUCAUUUUUAUUGCUUUUAAUUAUAAAGGGGAAAUAUUUAAUAUUAAAACACCAGCCUUUCACUGUCAAGCCUGAAAUAUCUGAAAUAUGUUAAGUUGCAUUCACAUGCAAGAAAAAAUGUUAUUACUGUAUUUUAAAAUGCAAGCACAAUGUGAAGUGAAUUAUUAUCUCAAACACAAAACUAGGUAUUUUUACCAACAGAGGUGGUAACAAUAUGGUACAGAUUUGAGGUUUUCAUUAUGGUGAAAUUUUCUAUGUUUUUUUCAGGUUGUGAUGUUAUGUGUACUUUUCAGAUCUCUGAAGAUGGAGACGGUAUGUUUCUCUGAAAUGUUGGUAUCUACCUAUGAUACCACAAGGCAUCACAAUCCAUAAGAACAUUAUUGACAGUCUGGUGGAGAUGCUGAACAAUACAUUUGGAAUACAAUGACAGUUAAGUAAAGAAAGCAAAUGAAUUUCAUGAGCAUAAUCAUGCAAAAUUCAGUUCACAUCAUAUUAAAACACAAUGCAUUAAUUCCAAUGCCUGUUACUGAAAUUACACCUAGAACUUGUUGGAUGUAAGCAUGAAGUAUAUUUAUAAUAAUGUAAAUGUACCAAAUUUUUACUCUCAGAACAUUAUUUUAAGCAAGUCUUUAUGAUGGAAGACUGUUUAGUGAUUUGAAAUGUCUGCCAGUAUCCUUCAAAUCAAACCAACUAAAGCCAAAACUAUUUUAUCUACAUGGGUGGGGGGGGAGCAGUCUCAAAUAUGGUGCACUGUGAUACAUAGGAUGUCUGGCAAUGAAUUAAAAUGAUACACAAAUGUACAUGUUCAAGGUGGGGUUAAAAUUUGAGAAUAUGGCAAGGUGAAGUUGCUAACAUUAUAUUUUAAUAGCUAUUAUGUUGGCCAGUCUGUGAAUACAUAAUGCAUGAUUUGUAAGAUUAAACUGAAACAAAAUCAAAUGUAAUUGAUUUCCAAAUUUAUGUUUUUAAAAAUGUGUUUCAUUUCUUAAACACUUUUCAUCAAGUAUAUAAACAGUAUUCUUAAAUUUGAGCGGCUCAUAAUCAUAAUCAUCGUUAUUAUUAUUGUUCUUGUUGCUAACAUUUUUUAUCCUGUACUGUUAUUUUAGUGCUUGACUGUAAUUGGUCUUUGUCAGCUGUUGUCAAGCACAGACAUAAAAUAAUGAAUGAAUUAUUGCUACCGCUACACUACUACUAACUUCUUUCAAAGGCUUCGGUGGAGUGAGGGGGGAAGGAGAGAACAAUACACAACUUAUAAAGGUCUGAGUACUUAAUGACAACCUGUCACCUGAGAAUGGCAGAAAAUCCAACUUCUUGAUCAUUACAUACACGAAAUACACCUAGGAUACUGUAUAAUGCCCAAUAUAGUUUUGUUUGUAUGAGUCAAAACAUUGGCAUAAAUCAUGGAGACAAAUGUUUUUAUUAGUACAGUGUAAGUAGUAAAGUAAUAGCGUGUUAAUGUUUGAAAAGCAGAACAGGAGUGGAAGUGAUAAAACAUAAAAUAAUAACCAGUAAUGCAAAUAGUGUUAAGCAUUAAGGGCAGUCCCCACUUAAUGGUACCUGCACCUUGUCGUGGUGGUGGGGCUUGAG